CUCUAAUUAAAGCUGCUAGAUCCAGAAAUUUUAGAGGUUAUAUUUGCCAAAAGUAAACUGCUCAUGGGAUCUCGAAAAAUUCUUGACUACCAUGCACUUGGAUUUGCUGCGCAAGAAAUCGCCGUUAUCAGAGCCUAAACCACAGCAAACCGAUCCCGCAGGUGAAGUUCAGCUGACUCAAAGCCAAAGGUAAGACACUGUUUCACGCAAAAUUCAUGUAAAUAUAAAUCGAAGAGCUGGAAAUUUGUUCUGCGUGUUUAUGCUUCUUUCUCUUACAAUUACGAGAAUACUUUUUUAAUUUAGUUUUAUGUCGGUCGCUUGUCUUGGUCUGGGAAAUUUUUAUAUUGUUCUUCUCAUUGCUAUCAGCUUCAAAAUAACAUGUAUUUUCGGGGUUGAUAUUUUCAUCAUUUCUGCCAUUGUCAUCGACUGGCGACAAGUUCAUGUUUACGUUGAGAUUGAAUGCAUUUUGAUUCUGUACAUUGUCAUUGUUGUCAUUUAUAGACUGCACGUAUUCUUGAAUUCCAUGUAUGGCCUUAAAAGCCACAUCUCCAAUAUGAUACGGAGUUGCUCUGAGUCAGUUGUCGCUUCCGGCGGAAUCUUUCCACUAUAAAUGAUGAGAAUACCAACGCCAAAAAUACAUGUUAUUUUGAAGCUGAUGGCGAUGAAAAAAAAAACAAUAUAAAAAUUUCCCAGACCAAGACAAGCGACCGACAUAAAACUAAAUCAAGAAAGCAUUCUCGCAAUCGUCAGAGAAAGAAGCGUAAACACGCAGAGCCAGUGGCGGCGCCAGCCCCUUGGGGGCAUUUUAGAGGCAAACUCAUAUUUUGGGGGGAGCAAGAUAGAAUUUUAAAAAAGGUACUGCUAGUUGCCCAUGCCGUUGUCACAGGACUCUCAAAAGGGGAGGGGCAAUAUUUUAAGGAAUAUCGCCCCCGGGGGCGAAUAUCUCCUAGGAAUAUCGCCCCCAGGGGGGCGAAUGUCUUAGGAAUA